rnacentral:lncRNA from 1 species
UCACAGGCCCACAGGAAGGACAAGCUCCAGUCAGAGACAGCAAGACCAAUUAACACCAGCAAUAACCAGAUGGAAAGAGGUAAGAGCAAGAACCUAAGCAACAGAAAACACGGCUACUUGCCAUUAUCAGAUCCCAGUUCUCCUAUCACAGUAAGUCCUGGGUACUCCAACACACCAGAAAAGCAAGAUUCAGAUUUAAAAUCACAUCUCAUGAUGAUGAUAGAGGACUUUAAGAAGGACAUAAACAACCCCCUUAAGGAAAUAGAGGAGAACACAGGUAAACAGGUAGAAGCCCUUAAAUAGGAAACAAAAAUCCCUUAAAGAGUUACAGGAAAACACAACCAAACAGGUGAAGGAAUUGAACAAAACUAUCCCAGAUCUAAAAAUGGAAAUAGCAACAAUAAAGAAAUCACAAAGGUAAAUAAUCCUGCAGAUAGAAAGACUGGAAAAAGAGAUCAGGAGCAUAGAUGCAAGCAUCACCAAUAGAAUUCAAGAGAUAGAAGAGAGAAUCUCAGGUGCAGAAGAUACCAUAGAAAACAUUGACACAACAGUCAAAAGAAAAUGCAAAAUGCAAAAAAGUUCCUAACCCAAAACAUCCAGGAAAUCAAGAACACAAUGAGAAAAUCAAACCUAUGGAUAAUAGGUAUGGAAGAGAGUGAAGAUUCCCAACUUAAAGGGCCAGUAAAUAUCUUCAACAAAAUUAUAGAAGAAAACUUCCCUAACCUAAAGAGAUGUCUGUAAACAUACAAGAAGCCUACAGAACUCCAAAUAGACUGGAUCAGAAACAGUAAGGGAAAAAGGUAGACACUACCUCAGAGUAAAAGGAUGGAAAAAAAUAUCCAAGCAAAUGGUCCCAAGAAAUAAGCUAGAGUAGCCAUUCUAAUAUGGAGGAAAAUAGACUUUCAACCAAAAGUUAUCAAAAAAGAUGAGGAAGUGCACUUCAUCCUCAUCAAAGGGGAAAUCUACCAAGAUGAACUCUCAAUUCUGAAUAUCUGUGCUCCAAAUGCAAGAGCACCCAUUCAUAAAAGAAACUUUACUAAAACCCAAAGCACACAUUGCACCUAACACAAUAACACUGGGAGAUUUCAAUACCCCACUUUCAUCAAUGGACAGAUCAUGUCCAUUUAGUUUUAACAAAAACUAAACAGAGACACAGUGAACUAGACACAUAACUAGCAGAAGUUAUGAACCAAAUGGAUUUAACAGAUAUAUGUAGAACAUUUCAUCCUAAAACAAAACAUAUAAUACCUUCUCUGCAGUACCUCAUGGUACCUUCUCCAAAAUUGACCAUAUAAUUGGUCAUAAAACAGGCAUCAACGAAUAGAAGAAGAUUGAAAUAAUCUUAUGCAUCCUAUCAGAUCACCAUGGACUAAGAAUUGUCUUCAAUAACAACAAAAACAACAAAUCCUACAUACACAUGAAAGCUAAACAACACUCUACUCAAUGAUAACUUGGUCAAGGAAGAAAGAAAUAUAUUAAAGACUUUUCAGAAUUUAGUGAAAAGGCACAAUAUACCCAAACUUAUGGGACACAGUGAAAGCAGUGCUAAGAGGAAAACUCAUAGCUCUGAAUUCCUUCAAAAAGAAACUGGAGAGAGUAUACACUAACAGCUUGACAGCACAUCUGAAAGCUCUAGAACAAAAAGAAGCAGAUACACCCAAGAGGAGUAGGUGGCAGAAAAUAAUCAAACUCAGGGUUGAAAUUAGCCAAGUAGAAACAAAAAGACCUAUACAAAGAAUGAACCAAACUAGGAGCUGGUUCUUUGAGAAAAUCAACAAGCUAGGUAAACCCUUGCCAGACUAACCAGAUGACACAGAGAUGGCAUCCAAAUUAACAAAAUC